GAGGUGGCUGCCUGGGAUGUCCUCCUCCAGGACAUCGCCCUGCUACCUAUGGACGUGGCCGAUUCUCCGGACACCAUCUCCUGGCGCCUAGACCCCUCCGGCCGCUUCUCCACCAAAUCCCUCUACGCGGCCAUUGCCCCUUCGUCAGCCCCGGAGCCCUUUGGUCUUAUCCGGGACAUCCGCCUCCCACUUAAGAUUCAGAUCUUUAUUUGGCAAUGGAUCCGCGGCCGCCUCCCGACCGGCGUUGAGGUUCUUAAGCGCCAUGGUCCUGGCGAUGGAAUGUGCCCCCUGUGUGGCACAGUAGAGGACGCUAAUCACAUCUUCUUCUUGUGCUACACGGCAUAG
rnacentral:rRNA from 1 species